rnacentral:lncRNA from 1 species
UCAGGAGUUCGAGACCAGCCUGACCAACAUGGUGAAACCCCAUCUCUACUAAAAAUUCAAAACUUAGCCGGGUGUGGUGGCAUGCACCUGUAAUCCCAGCUACUCAGGAGGCUGAGGCAGGAAAAUCGCUUGAAUCCGGGAGAUGGAGGCUGCAGUGAGCUGAGAUCAUGCCACUGCACUCCAGCCUGGGUGACAGAGAGA